CACGUGUAGGAUACCGGAUUUGUUUUAAUAAAAAGUGAAUAUAAAUAGAAAUAGUCUGAGAUACUAUUUUUAUUGGAUUUAGACAAGUAAAUUAUACGUCAGGAUUGACUUGUGCGGAAAUCGGAGUGAAAAUAGAAGAUUGAGAAUUUUUUGUGAGAGACGGGGCUGAUAUUUUAGCAGAAAAUGCACAGUGUCAGAAAAUUUCGAAAAUUUGGGAAUAUGUUAGGAUUAUUUUUAUGAGGCUAGAUUUAAAGUUUCAUGCCAUUCUGACACUCGGAAGGUGGAAAAUUAAAUCCAACAGUUAUUUGAUAAAGAUUACAGUUUGGUACAGCUUUCGGUGACCAAACGGGGUCGAAACUGAAAGAUUAAAAUUUCUUUCGUUAAGUAAGGUUAAACUGAUCAUGACUGCCAAAUUUGAGCUCAAUCGGACGUUCAGAAGGGCGGACGAAAAAUAUCUGUACCUGAGCUACAAUCUGAUGUGAAUAGUGUUUUGGGAGUAUANCUUUACAUUUUACUUUAGUAGUCUAGCUUCUGUGGUUUCUACUGGUUGAUAGAACCUAGCUGUAUAAUUGCUCUGAUAUCUCUAGAUAUUCUCUAUUUAUUGUUCUUUAAUUCGUUAUCGUUGUAGACGCCUUAUAUGUGCAGGCAUAUGGCGGGUCUGGGCACGCACCGGGCGGGCCUACGCCGGGU
rnacentral:lncRNA from 1 species